rnacentral:rRNA from 1 species
CUGGCUCAGGAUGAACGCUGGCGGCGUGCCUAACACAUGCAAGUCGAACGGAGAAUAUACGCUUCAGAAGCUUCGGCAGAUGAUUG